AGCAUUUGCAUGGGGGCACCCUGACCGCCUGCCGCGUGUGUGAAGAAGGCCUUUUGGUGUGUAAAGCACUUUAAGCAGGGAGGAGAGGCUAAUGGUUAAUACCCAUUAGAUUAGACGUUACCUGCAGAAUAAGCACCGGCUAACUCUGUGCCAGCAGCCGCGGUAAUACAGAGGGUGCGAGCGUUAAUCGGAAUUACUGGGCGUAAAGCGAGUGUAGGUGGCUCAUUAAGUCACAUGUGAAAUCCCCGGGCUUAACCUGGGAACUGCAUGUGAUACUGGUGGUGCUAGAAUAUGUGAGAGGGAAGUAGAAUUCCAGGUGUAGCGGUGAAAUGCGUAGAGAUCUGGAGGAAUACCGAUGGCGAAGGCAGCUUCCUGGCAUAAUAUUGACACUGAGAUUCGAAA
rnacentral:rRNA from 1 species